rnacentral:rRNA from 1 species
AGUGAACGCUGGCGGUAGGCCUAACACAUGCAAGUCGAACGGCAGCACAGUAAGAGCUUGCUCUUACGGGUGGCGAGUGGCGGACGGGUGAGGAAUACAUCGGAAUCUACUUUUUCGUGGGGGAUAACGUAGGGAAACUUACGCUAAUACCGCAUACGACCUACGGGUGAAAGCAGGGGAUCUUCGGACCUUGCGCGAUUGAAUGAGCCGAUGUCGGAUUAGCUAGUUGGCGGGGUAAAGGCCCACCAAGGCGACGAUCCGUAGGUGGUCUGAGAGGAUGGACAGGCACACUGGAACUGAGACACGGUCCAGACUCCUACGGGAGGCAGCAGUGGGGAAUAUUGGACAAUGGGCGCAAGCCUGAUCCAGCCAUACCGCGUGGGUGAAGAAGGCCUUCGGGUUGUAAAGCCCUUUUGUUGGGAAAGAAAAGCAGCAGGUUAAUACCCCGCUGUUCUGACGGUACCCAAAGAAUAAGCACCGGCUAACUUCGUG